CCUACGGGAGGCAGCAGUGAGGAAUAUUGGUCAAUGGACGAGAGUCUGAACCAGCCAAGUAGCGUGAAGGAUGACUGCCCUAUGGGUUGUAAACUUCUUUUAUAUGGGAAUAAAAUGUUCCACGUGUGGGAUUUUGUAUGUACCUUAUGAAUAAGGAUCGGCUAACUCCGUGCCAGCAGCCGCGGUAAUACGGAGGAUCCGAGCGUUAUCCGGAUUUAUUGGGUGUAAAGGGAGCGUAGGUGGAUUGUUAAGUCAGUUGUGAAAGUUUGCGGCUCAACCGUAAAAUUGCAGUUGAAACUGGCAGUCUUGAGUACAGUAGAGGUGGGCGGAAUUCGUGGUGUAGCGGUGAAAUGCUUAGAUAUCACGAAGAACUCCGAUUGCGAAGGCAGUUCACUGGACUGCAACUGACACUGAGGCUCGAAAGUGUGGGUAUCAAACAGGAUUAGAUACCCUUGUAGUC
rnacentral:rRNA from 1 species